rnacentral:rRNA from 1 species
GCUCUCUGGGUGGCGAGUGGCGGACGGGUGAGGAAUACAUCGGAAUCUACUUUUUCGUGGGGGAUAACGUAGGGAAACUUACGCUAAUACCGCAUACGACCUACGGGUGAAAGCAGGGGAUCUUCGGACCUUGCGCGAUUGAAUGAGCCGAUGUCGGAUUAGCUAGUUGGCGGGGUAAAGGCCCACCAAGGCGACGAUCCGUAGCUGGUCUGAGAGGAUGAUCACCCACACUGGAACUGAGACACGGUCCAAACUCCUACGGGAGGCAGCAGUGGGGAAUAUUGGACAAUGGGCGCAAGCCUGAUCCAGCCAUACCGCGUGGGUGAAGAAGGCCUUCGGGUUGUAAAGCCCUUUUGUUGGGAAAGAAAUCCAGCUGGCUAAUACCCGGUUGGGAUGACGGUACCCAAAGAAUAAGCACCGGCUAACUUCGUGCCAGCAGCCGCGGUAAUACGAAGGGUGCAAGCGUUACUCGGAAUUACUGGG